UCGGCUUAGAGUUUGAUCCUGGCUCAGGACGAACGCUGGCGGCAUGCCUAAUACAUGCAAGUCGAACGAGUGCUUGCACAGUGGCGAGCUGGUGAGUAACACGUGGGAAAUCUGCCCAGAAGCAGGGGAUAACACUUGGAAACAGGUGCUAAUACCGUAUAACAACAAAUCCGCAUGGAUUUUGUUGAAAGGUGUUCGUAUCACUUCUGGAUGAUCCCGCGGCGUAUUAGUUAGUUGGUGAGGUAAAGGCCCACCAAGACGAUGAUACGUAGCCGACCUGAGAGGGUAAUCGGCCACAUUGGGACUGAGACACGGCCCAAACUCCUACGGGAGGCAGCAGUAGGGAAUCUUCCACAAUGGACGAAAGUCUGAUGGAGCAAUGCCGCGUGAGUGAAGAAGGGUUUCGGCUCGUAAAACUCUGUUGUUAAAGAAGAACACCUUUGAGGUAAUUCAAGGGUUGACGGUAUUUAACCAGAAAGCCACGGCUAACUACGUGCCAGCAGCCGCGGUAAUACGUAGGUGGCAAGCGUUGUCCGGAUUUAUUGGGCGUAAAGCGAGCGCAGGCGGUUUUUUAAGUCUGAUGUGAAAGCCUUCGGCUUAACCGGAGAAGUGCAUCGGAAACUGGGAGACUUGAGUGCAGAAGAGAACAGUGGAACUCCAUGUGUAGCGGUGGAAUGCGGU
rnacentral:rRNA from 1 species